rnacentral:rRNA from 1 species
AUUGAACGCUGGCGGCAUGCUUUACACAUGCAAGUCGAACGGUAACAGGUUAAGCUGACGAGUGGCGAACGGGUGAGUAAUGCAUCGGAACGUGCCCGGUCGUGGGGGAUAACGCAGCGAAAGCUGCGCUAAUACCGCAUACGAUCUGAGGAUGAAAGCGGGGGACCGUAAGGCCUCGCGCGAUCGGAGCGGCCGAUGUCAGAUUAGGUAGUUGGUGGGGUAAAGGCUCACCAAGCCGACGAUCUGUAGCUGGUCUGAGAGGACGACCAGCCACACGUGGACUGAGACACGGCCCAGACUCCUACGGGAGGCAGCAGUGGGGAAUUUUGGACAAUGGGCGCAAGCCUGAUCCAGCAAUGCCGCGUGCAGGAAGAAGGCCUUCGGGUUGUAAACUGCUUUUGUACGGAGCGAAAAGGCUCUCUCUAAUACAGGGGGCUCAUGACGGUACCGUAGGAAUAAGCACCGGCUAACUACGUGCCAGCCGCCGCAGUAA